AUUUCUAAUUUGUCGAUCAUUUUCUAUCCAUGUUUUUAUUUCACGACAAGUUCUCUCGGCCGACGAUUCUGUUCGACGUUGAGCUUCCAUGAAUCGAAUCCGGCAGGCAUAACCGACAGUCGACGAUCCAUUUCAUUUGUCCAGGCCCGGUACCAGAGCAUGUUAUAUGGUCCCAUCCCAAGAGCCACUCGAACCAGCAACCUCUAGGAUUUGCCUGAGUUUGAUGAUAAAUUUUUUUAUGGCCAGAUUAUGUCGAUUAGCUACAGCGAUACUUCAUCGGAAGGUCCAGACAUGGACAUGUGAUCAGCUUAUGCGGAUGCAACAUAUGGAAUUACUGAGAAGUGCUUCUGCGGAAGGCAGAUGAUACUUGAAUCUUUCUCAUAGGGCCGCAAGUAUUAUACUUGUCCUGACUGGCUGAAAGAGGGGACUAGUGAGCAUAAGUGGCAAUGGUGGGAUGAGGCAGUCACCGAACAAUUCUCAAUCGUAGAGACAAGGCUUCGAGAGCAAAGGGAGCUGAUACUCAGUGUAGACAGGCACCAGAUCAAUGCCUUGGAUCCCACCCUUGGAGAAAUAAAUCAAGAAGUAAGACGACUUCAAGGAGAAGUCUCCAUGCUGAAGGAGUACAUUGGUAACCAAGGUGAAGGCUUUAUGAUGUUGCUCUUUUUUGUGUUUUCGUAGCUGUUUCAUACAUGUUUAAGUAGUAGCACUGAGUUGCAAAUACUAUCUACUAUGUGUAGUCGUUAAUGUUCCCUUCGAGGCUAUGUAGUCAGACAAAAAAUGUUUUAGGAUUCUUUAUUUAGCAUCAUGUGUGUGUAUGUUAUCUACCCUCUAAGUUAUGAACCUAUGUGAUAAGUUAUUGUUUUAAUAAUGUG